rnacentral:rRNA from 1 species
AUUGAACGCUGGCGGCAGGCCUAACACAUGCAAGUCGAGCGGAUGAAGGGAGCUUGCUCCUGGAUUCAGCGGCGGACGGGUGAGUAAUGCCUAGGAAUCUGCCUGGUAGUGGGGGAUAACGUCCGGAAACGGGCGCUAAUACCGCAUACGUCCUGAGGGAGAAAGUGGGGGAUCUUCGGACCUCACGCUAUCAGAUGAGCCUAGGUCGGAUUAGCUAGUUGGUGGGGUAAAGGCCUACCAAGGCGACGAUCCGUAACUGGUCUGAGAGGAUGAUCAGUCACACUGGAACUGAGACACGGUCCAGACUCCUACGGGAGGCAGCAGUGGGGAAUAUUGGACAAUGGGCGAAAGCCUGAUCCAGCCAAGCCGCGUGUGUGAAGAAGGUCUUCGGAUUGUAAAGCACUUUAAGUUGGGAGGAAGGGAAGUAUGUGAAUACCUUGCUAUUUUGACGUUACCAAAAGAAUAAGCACCGGCUAACUUCGUG